GCCGGCGUGGCGGAACGGCAGACGCAGGAGACUUAAAAUCUCCCGGGGGGGAACCCCCGUGUGGGUUCGACUCCCACCGCCGGCA
rnacentral:tRNA from 1 species